rnacentral:rRNA from 1 species
UCUCUCUGAAUCUGCGUACGGCUCCGCAAACCAGUUGUAAACUAUAGCAAGCAUGCCUGGGUUCCCUUCACGGGGAGCUUGGGCGAUACGGAUAACCCUGGUAAUUCUGUGGCUAAUACGAGAACGUAAUACCUGGCUGACUGGGCAACUAGAAGGCUGGGAGACGUGCAAGUGUUCGUGAGGGAGUUACUGGGAAUAGAUGCACGUCUCGACCGCGCCAAAAACAGAUGAGUGCCCCGACCCUCACGGGAAGGGGUGCUUGCCUGAGCGGCUCUUGCAAUGUGCUUCUGACCUAUCAACUAGACGGCAGCGUAAAGGACAUGCUAUGGUUACAACGGGUACAGAGGAUUAGGGUUCGAUCCUGGAGAGUGGGCCUGAGAGAUUGUUAG